UACCAGCACCCCGAGUGGUCGGGACGUUUAUUGGGCCUAAAGCAUCCGUAGCCGGUUCUACAAGUCUUCCGUUAAAUCCACCUGCUUAACAGAUGGGCUGCGGAAGAUACUAUGGAGCUAGGAGGCGGGAGAGGCAAGCGGUACUCGAUGGGUAGGGGUAAAAUCCGUUGAUCCAUUGAAGACCACCAGUGGCGAAGGCGGCUUGCCAGAACGCGCUCGACGGUGAGGGAUGAAAGCUGGGGGAGUAAACCGG
rnacentral:rRNA from 1 species